rnacentral:rRNA from 1 species
AGUAGCGGUGAAAUGCGUAGAUAUCUGGAGGAAUACCAAGGGCGAAGGCAGUCCCCUGGUCCGAUACUGACACUGAGGUACGAAAGCGUGGGGAGCAAACAGGAUUAGAUACCCUGGUAGUCCACGCCCUAAACGAUGUCGAUUAGCCAUUGGAAGGACCCCUUUUCCUUUCAGUGACGUAGCUAACGCGUUAAAUCGACCGCCUGGGAAGUACGACCGCAAGGUUAAAACUCAAAGGAAUUGACGGGGACCUGAACAAGCGGUGAAUGAUGUGGAUUAAUUCGAUGCUACGCGAAGAACCUUACCUACCUUUGACAUGGCCAAAGUUCUACCGAGAGGCGGAAGUACUCGUAAGAGGAUUGGCGCACAGGUGCUGCAUGGUUGCCGUCAGUUCGUGUCGUGAGAUGUUGGGUUCAGUCCCGCAACGAACGCAACCCUUAUCUUUAAUUGCUCCUAUUUUAACAGGCACUUUAAAGAAACUGCCAAUGAUAAGUUGGAGGAAGGUGGGGAUCACGUCAAGUCCGCAUGGCCUUUAUAGGUAGGGCUUCACACGUCAUACAAUGGUUAGAACAAAGAGCUGCAAAUUCGUAAGAAGGAGCCAAUCUCACAAACCUAACCUCAGUUCGAAUUGCGGUCUGCAACUCGAGCGCAUGAAGCCGGAAUCGCUAGUAAUCGUGGAUCAGAAUGCCA